AGUUUCUCUGGGAAAGCUAUCGGC
rnacentral:miRNA from 1 species